rnacentral:rRNA from 1 species
GACGAACGCUGGCGGCGUGCUUAACACAUGCAAGUCGAACGGUGAAGCGCCUUCCUUUUUGGUGGGUGUGGAUGAGUGGCGAACGGGUGAGUAACACGUGAGUAACCUGCCCCCUUCUUCUGGAUAACCGCAUGAAAGUGUGGCUAAUACGGGAUAUUCUGGUUCUGUCGCAUGAUGGGUCUGGGAAAGAUAUUGUUUCGGUGGGGGAUGGGCUCGCGGCCUAUCAGCUUGUUGGUGGGGUGAUGGCCUACCAAGGCGGUGACGGGUAGCCGGCCUGAGAGGAUGGACGGCCACACGGGUACGGAGACACGGCCCAGACUACGACGGGAGGCAGCAGUGGGGAAUACUGAACAAUGGGAGCAAGGCUGAUGCAGCGACGCCGCGUGAGGGAUGGAGGCCGUCGGGUUGUGAACCUCUUUCGCCAGUGAAGCAGGACUGCCUCGUUUGUGGGUGGGUUGACGGUAGCUGGAUAAGAAGCGCCGGCUAACUACGUG